GCACCCAGGAGAGCUUGCUAAAACUGGAAUGAUCCACGGAAGAUUAGCAUGGUCUCUGGGUGAGGAUGGCGUGCUAAUUCACGAAGCGGCCCAUUGUUAA
ensembl:snRNA Gm22523 predicted gene, 22523